GAUGAAGAACGCAGCGAAAUGCGAUAAGUAAUGUGAAUUGCAGAAUUCAGUGAAUCAUCGAAUCUUUGAACCCACAUUGCGCCCGCCAGUAUUCUGGCGGGCAUGCCUGUUCGAGCGUCAUUUCAACCAUCAAGCCCCCGGCUUGUGUUGGGGACCUGCGGCUGCCGCAGGCCCUGAAAACCAGUGGCGGGCUCGCUGUCACACCGAGCGUAGUAGAUUUUCAUCUCGCUCAGGGCGUGCUGCGGGUUCCGGCCGUAAAAAGCCUUAUUUACCCAAGGUUGACCUCGGAUCAGGUAGGAAGACCCGCUGAACUUAAGCAUAUCAAUAAGCGGAGGA
rnacentral:misc_RNA from 1 species